rnacentral:rRNA from 1 species
UGGGGGAUUUUGCACAAUGGGCGCAAGCCUGAUGCAGCGACGCCGCGUGAGGGAUGAAGGCCUUCGGGUUGUAAACCUCUUUCGCUGGGUUGAAAGGCCAUGCUUUGGGUGUGGUUGAUUUGAACUGGUAAAGAAGUACCGGCUAACUACGUGCCAGCAGCCGCGGUAAUACGUAGGGUACUAGCGUUGUCCGGAUUUAUUGGGCGUAAAGGGCUUGUAGGUGGUUUGUCGCGUCUGUCGUGAAAUCCUGUGGCUUAACCAUGGGCUUGCGGUGGGUACGGGCAGGCUUGAGUGCGGUAGGGGAGACUGGAAUUCCUCGUGUAGCGGUGGAAUGCGCAGAUAUCAGGAGGAACACCGGUGGCGAAGGCGGGUCUCUGGGCCGUUACUGACACUGAGGAGCGAAAGCGUGGGGAGCGAACAGG